AACUGUUAAAACGCUCUGCGCGACAGUAGGUGAGCUCCGCGGUACAGUUAAAAAGCUCUGCGCGACAGUAGGUGAGCUCUGCGGUACAGUUAAAAAGCUCAGCGCGACAGUAGGUGAGCUCCGUGGUACAGUUAAAAAGCUCAGCGCGACAGUAGGUGAGCUCCGCGGUACAGUUAAAAAGCUCAGCGCGACAGUAGGUGAGCUCCGCGGUACAGUUAGAAAGCUCCGCGCGACAGUAGGUGAGCUCCGCGGUACAGUUAAAAAGCUCCGCGCGACAGUAUGUUUAAAAAAAAAAAAUAAUAAU